rnacentral:tRNA from 1 species
UCCCUGGUGGCUCAGACGGUAAAGAAUCUGCCUGCAAUGCAGGAGACACCUGGGUUCGAUUCCUGGGUUGGGAA